GAUGAACGCUGGCGGCGUGCCUAAUACAUGCAAGUCGAGCGAACAGACGAGGAGCUUGCUCCUUCGACGUUAGCGGCGGACGGGUGAGUAACACGUAGGUAACCUACCUAUAAGACUGGGAUAACUUCGGGAAACCGGAGCUCAUACCGGAUAAUAUUUCGAACCGCAUGGUUCGAUAGUGAAAGAUGGCUUUGCUAUCACUUAUAGAUGGACCUGCGCCGUAUUAGCUAGUUGGUAAGGUAACGGCUUACCAAGGCAACGAUACGUAGCCGACCUGAGAGGGUGAUCGGCCACACUGGAACUGAGACACGGUCCAGACUCCUACGGGAGGCAGCAGUAGGGAAUCUUCCGCAAUGGGCGAAAGCCUGACGGAGCAACGCCGCGUGAGUGAUGAAGGUCUUCGGAUCGUAAAACUCUGUUAUUAGGGAAGAACAAACGUGUAAGUAACUGUGCACGUCUUGACGGUACCUAAUCAGAAAGCCACGGCUAACUACGUG
rnacentral:rRNA from 1 species